rnacentral:rRNA from 1 species
UACGAAGGGGGCUAGCGUUGCUCGGAAUCACUGGGCGUAAAGCGCGCGCAGGCGGCGAUCUACGUCUGGGGUGAAAGCCCGGAGCUCAACUCCGGGACUGCCUUGGAUACGGGAUCGCUUGAGGAUUGGAGAGGCAAGGGGAAUUCCACGUGUAGCGGUGAAAUGCGUAGAUAUGUGGAGGAACACCUGUGGCGAAGGCGCCUUGCUGGCCAAUGUCUGACGCUGAGGCGCGAAAGCGUGGGGAGCAAACAGG